rnacentral:tRNA from 1 species
GGGGGUGGGCCGUGGCUUAGUAGUAGAGCAUUCGCUUGGCAUGCAGAAGGCCCCAGGCUCAAUUCCCAGCAUCUCCC